UGGUCGUGGCCGGGCCCGGGGAAGGCCGUCGAGGCCGUGGACGCCGUGGACGCAGACGCCCUGCAAUCCGAGGACGUCGUCGAGGUGCUGGGGGACAGCAUGGCCGCCAUGCCCGACCUAUCGCACCUCACGCCCGAGGAGCGGCAGAUCAUCGAGUCCGUGAUGAUGCGACAGAAGAGGGAGGAGGAGCACGAGAACGAGAUCAUGAGGCGCAAGCAAGAUGAGGUCCAGGUGCUGGAGGAGAGCAUUCGGCAGCGCUCGGAGCAGCAGAAGAAGGCGGGCGUGGAGCUGGACGCCACGUGCCACAUCUGCCUCAAGACCAAGUUCGCGGACGGCGUGGGCCACGUCUGCCACUACUGCAACAUCCGCUGCUGCGCGCGAUGUGGCGGCAAAGUCACGCUGCGCUCCAACAAGGUGAUAUGGGUGUGCAUCCUGUGCCGCAAGAAGCAGGAGCUGCUCAGCAAGACUGGCCAGUGGAUCAACAAGGGCAUGGUGAGCAGCCAGCAGGACUCCAUCAUGAGGCGCAUCGAGGCGGACAUGCAGGGCGGCAUCCUGGCGGGGCUGUCCGCCGACAAGCGGCCCAAGCUGGAGCGCGCGCACUCGGCCGCCGAGAAGGAGAACCAGCCGCUGCUGGCGGGGCCGCUGGGUCUGAGAAGGCAGUACUCGCAGCAGGAGGACGAGCGGUACUACCGCGGCGAGCUGGAGGGCCUGAUGCGCUCGCACCAGCAGCUGCAGGCCGGUGGCCAGCACGGCCAGCACGGCCAGCACGGCCACAUGACGGGCCACAUGACGGGCCACAUGGCCAUGGCGCCCCACCUGCCGCCCUACCGCCACGACUCGCUCUCCUCCGAGCAGAGCUCGUCCAUGGACUCGCACGGGGCGCACGCGCACGCGCACGCCUACAGCACGCACGCCGCGCCGCACGGGCCGCACGGGCCGCACGGACCCCCGCCCGGGCGCAAGCAGCACAAGCGGCAGGGCUCGGCGAAGCGCGCAGUAUCCCGGACGGCGCCGCACGCAGCGCAACACGCCGCGCAGCACUCCCCGCACAUUGCCCCGCAGCGCUCCUUCUCCUCCUCGGACGACGAGCUCAGGUCCACGCCGGACUGCACCAGUGGCGAGGAGCACGACACCGAGAAGGGAGACGGCGUUCACCAGAGCAGGGGGCGACUCAAAAAGCACGCCAUGUUAGAUCAAAAGAUUAAAAAGUUCCUGGCGCACCCGCACUCCUGGCAGACGAGUGCCGACGGCCAGUCCCUCGUCGGCCACAUGAUCCUCCGCAAGUCCAUCCGGGAGCCCCAGGGCUCGGGCGGAUCGUCGUCGGGGUCCUCGACGACGUCCGCCAUCCUGGGCCUCAAGGUGGCGGGCGGCAGGGUGAUGGAGGCCGGCCACAUCGGCGCGGUCAUCGAGCGCGUCAAGAAGGGCAGCAUCGCGGACGUGGAGGGCCAGCUCAAGCCAGGCGACGAGGUGCUGGAGUGGAACGGCAGGGGGCUGCAGGGACUGAGCCACCAGGAGGUGCACGACAUCAUUGCCGAGAGCAAGCAGGAGCCGCAGGUGGAGCUGAUGGUCUGCCGGCCGCUCAUGGGGUCCGCGUCGGGCCCCCACCCGGGCCACUCCGGGGGCCACGCGAUGGGCGCGAUGGGCCACGGCUCGGGCCCGGGGCCGGGGCCGCCAGCAGCCCGCGGCCGCGGCAUGUCGUCGACCUGGAGGGCGCCGCCGGUCCACAAAGACCUGUACGACGCGCGGCGCGACAACCCCGCCGUGCUGGUGACGUCACCCGGGUCGCCGGACCUGCACCGUGGGGGUCACCCCCGGCACGGCCCGCCCCUGGCCAAGGGCAACAGCGUGGGCGGCAAGAUGCAGGUCAAGCUGUGGUUCGACUCCGGCGCGCUGCAACUGCAAGUGACCAUCGUGUGCGCGGCGGGGCUGCUGCCGCGACGGAACGGGGAGCCCCGCAACCCGUACGCCAAGAUGUUCCUCCUGCCGGACCGAAGCGAGAACUCGAAGCGGCGCACCCAGACGCUGGCGCAGACCAACGACCCUCGCUGGAACCAGACGUUCGUGUACUCGUCCGUCAAGCGGUCCGACCUCAAGCUGCGGGUGGUGGAGAUCACGGUGUGGGACUACAUGCCGCACCGCACCAACGACUUCCUGGGCGAGGUGCUGGUGGAGCUGAGCGUGGCGGCGCUCGACUCGUCCCCGGAGUGGUUCUACCUGAGCAGCCACGGCGCGGGCCGCGACGCCGGCCGCGACGCCCUGCUGUCCCCCACCGACCACCUGAGCCCUCCGGGCGCGGGCAGCAUGGUGUCGAGGCUCUCGGACUCGGACACGUCGGACCUGGACGACGGCCGCGAGCGGCGCGUGGCGGACGGCGCGUCCAUCAGCAGCGUGGGGUCGUCCACGAGCCCGCCGCCCGACAUGCUGGACAUGGGCAGCGCGCGCCGCUCGCGCCGAGACAUGUCCCCGCAGGGACGCAAGCGCGCCGCGCACAUGGCGCUCCGCGACAAGCCGGUGUCGUACCAGCCGCCGCGCGUCGCGGGCGCGCACGCCGCGCAGCUCGGGCCGCGCUCGCACUCCGCAGCGCCCGCCGACUCGCCCUCCAUGGCCAUGAGGAGCAGGUCCAAGUCCCCGCGACGCUCCUCCGACCACCAAGUCGACCACCACGUCGACCACCACGCCGACCCGCGGAGCCUGUCGCCGCCGGAGGACCGGAGCAGCAUGGCCAUGGGCCCCCACGGCUACAUGCCACGCUUCUCCCGGUCGGCCACGGCCACGCCCACGACGUCACCGCGGAAGAGGCAGCUGCCGCAGAUCCCGCCGGCUGUGCAGAACGCGUUCCGGGAUCGCGACCGACUGUCCCGCGACCGCCUGGAUCGAGUAGACAGGGACCGCCUGGACCGGGACCGAUUGGACCGGGACCGUCUGGACCGGGACCGAGUAGAACUGGACCGUGGGUCAACACUUGACGCUGACGACCGGCUGCACGAGGCGCGGCACUCCAGCAGGCACCGCCAACGAGGGCACCAUUCAGCGGACUGGUCCUACACGGGGCUGUCCGACAGCGACCUGUCCACCUCGGGCCGGGGCACCACGUCUACGUACAGGAUGAGUCGCCGGCACCGGUCGCCCGACAAGGAGCUUGUCCCCGGCGACUUCGGGGACUCGGACAUCGAGUCGGUUGUCUCCGUCACCAGCAGUGCCUUCUCCACGCAGUCCGAGCGGCCGCGGGGGUCGCGCGCUAUCAGGUACACGCAGCUCUCGACAAGUGGUAGCGAGUUCAGCGCGGCCGGGACCAUGACCAGGGCGGGCAGGCAGGGCCGGCAGGGCUCGCAGCGAGGCCAGUUCACUCGCAGCCUGUCCAACACGGACGUGCCCCCCGAGACUGAGGACAGCACGCGGGGCAGCCGCGAGCACAUGACCAGCAGCAGCCCGGUGGACCAGAUCCAGAGCUAUAAUGACGGCAGCCUCAGCGACACUGCGCUGGGCACUCAGCACAACACGACGCGCAGGGUUAAAAUGGCCGGGACCACUGGCAAGAUGGCCGCGAUGGGCAAGAAGAGCUCGUCGACGUCACAGCUCUCGGCUACCGGUGAGGGAAGCGGAGGCCGAAAACGUAGGUUAGGUUUCAACCGCAAGGGCAAGUCUUCCUUCACCGUGCACCGGAGCGAAGAGGUGCUGCCGGAGGAUGUCAGGCUACUCGUCAGGCAGGCCAGCUCCAUGUCCAGCGACGGCGAGGGCUCCGGGGACGGAGACAGCAGCUGGGCGUCUAUGCGGGGCUCCAUGGGGCCCGACCCCAGCGGGGCGCUCACGGACUUCAUCGAGGGGCUGGGGCCGGGGCAGCUGGUGGGGCGCCAGGUGCUGGGCGCGCCCUCCCUCGGGGACAUCCAGCUCUCCAUGUGCUACCAGAAGGGCUACCUGGAGGUGGAGGUGAUCCGGGCACGGGGGCUCCAAGCCAAGCCGGGAUCCAAAACGCUGCCGGCACCUUAUGUGAAAGUUUACCUGGUGAACGGUAAGCGGUGUGUUUCCAAGAAUAAGACGCACACUGCAAGAAGGACUUUGGACCCUCUGUAUCAACAACAGCUUAUUUUUAGGGAAAACUAUGCUGGCUGUGUACUUCAGGUGACGGUGUGGGGUGACUAUGGCCGCAUCGAGGGCAAGAAGGUGUUCAUGGGGGUGGCGCAGAUCAUGCUGGACGACCUCAACCUGUCCGCCAUGGUGAUCGGCUGGUACAAGCUGUUCGGCACCACGUCCUUGGUUAGUGGACCCCCUUCGCUCGCCCUCUCCCGCCGCAGCUCAGACAAUAGCCUAGACUCCAUCCCCACCAACCCAUAGCAGCAGAGCAGCAGCGGUGGCAGUCCACGGCUGGACCACUGCCACCGCCCUUCGCCACCGCCGCCACCACGACCAUCGGCAGCGCGUGCUGACUAUGCCUAGUAGUGCCCUGCCCUCCACACCCUACCCUAGGUGAAGCACCUCGGUGGCCGCGGUGGGCGCUCCUCGCGGCGAGAGACCCUCUUCCCUGCCUCUCCGCAUUGCCACGCCCAGCCUCGCUAGCCUGCCCCGCAUCGGCCCUACACUCGUGAUUUAGUGUGUUUAGUGCUACGACGAACUUCAGGCAUGAAAAAUGCGAAAAAAGACAAAAAAAGGACAUGUUAUAAAUAAUAUAUAAAUACUAUAAAAUCUUGGUUUUCUUACUUUAAAAAAAUGAGAAACAUUGUAAAAUAUUGUACAGGCAAUUUUGUUAUCCGUACUGGACGUGAAAGACCAAAACUCUAUGCAGCCGUUGCUCGCCCCGCCACGCCACGCCCCUCCCCGUCCCACCCCACCCCGCCACGCCACGCCCCACCGGCCACACCUCUGAGCUUUGCGCCCUCCGUCCAACAGGCCCCCUCCCUCCCUUGUGGAAAACCCGCUGGGUUAACGCACACAGCCAGUUUCCUUUUAUUUUUGUCAUUUUUUUUUUUAUGAAAGUUCAAGUUUCUGCCAUCCCACCUUUACGAACUACUUUUGGCCAUGUGAUAUGCACCCCUACAGGUAACACAUCGCCGUUGUGUCAAACUGCCCCAGUUUCACGACCCCAGGCGAGAACCAACCAGUGGGCGAGCAAAUGUGCCGCGCUUUUUUUAAAAACUAGGUUGUCCUUAUUAUUCUAUUAUGGUGCAAUCAUUUUGACGCUUCAUCCAGACUUUAUAAAAGUGUUAGAUUAUGAGAGGACAAUGAAAAACAGAAAGAGUGGAAAUCAGAGUUAUUUCGAACUAGGGUAAUUAUGUGCAUGCUGUGAUUUUUUGUUGUUCUUUGUUGACGCAUUUGGCAGCACUGUUGCUGCCACGUGUCUGAGAGAGAGUGUGAGAGAGAAAAUGUGUGUGUUUUUCUAUCAACUGAUAUCAUCUGCAUAGGCUGCGACGAAACUCACCUAAAGCCAAUGCUGCUAAUCCUUUAAGAAGGUUUUUUUUUGCCUCAAAUUAACUGUGGCUUUUUUGGAAUUACAAAAGUGCUUUGUUAGGAGGAUCUCCAAUGCGCUAGUGGUGGAGCGACGCGCGCGUGACCUCAUGGCGCAGUGGAAGUCUGGAAGUCCCAGGUGGAACUUGAAGGUGCUCCUAAUUUGCUUUAGAUGACGUAGUGCCCACCGGAAAGCUCGAAAAGCAGGAUCAUUUUUCUUUUGUCAGUUGGGGCGAAUCCGGGUGAAGUGUUUUGUCUUCACAUCUGAACAUAUCCUUACCAUUGUAUCAUAAUUUAAAUUGUGCUCAAGUAUUUAGAAAUGUUAGCGCGAGGUUUCCACCAAUAGCAGCCCGAGUGACCAGUGUGACCAGUGGCACCACCACUGGCGUCGCUCCUUCAUUUCUUACUGGGCAAUCAAACCGGUCCGGCCACAAAAACAAAGAAAACAUAUUGUAUUUAAAAAUAUAUAAAAAAAGCAUUCUGGAUCUGUGAUAAUACCUUUAACUGCUAUGCAGACUGUUGUUAAGCGCUAUAAUAGUGUUUAUAUAUUGUCCUGGGCCCAGCGAAGCACGUGAGGCCUCGUCGCACGCCAGGCAAACGUUUAUACAGUCGGUGUUUCUUUCCUCCGCUCCGUAUAGCUUUCGUCGGAAAGCUCUGAAACUCUAGGUUAACACUAACAUAAGAACGUCACAUGUAAAUACGAAGACAAUAAAUGUAUCUAUGCAAAAAGACGUGCAA